rnacentral:rRNA from 1 species
AGAGUUUGAUCCUGGCUCAGGACGAACGCUGGCGGCGUGCUUAACACAUGCAAGUCGAACGAAGAGCGAUGGAAGCUUGCUUCUAUCAAUCUUAGUGGCGAACGGGUGAGUAACGCGUAAUCAACCUGCCCUUCUGAGGGGGACAACAGUUGGAAACGACUGCUAAUACCGCAUACGAUCCAAUCUCGGCAUCGAGACUGGAUGAAAGGUGGCCUCUAUUUAUAAGCUAUCACUGAAGGAGGGGAUUGCGUCUGAUUAGCUAGUUGGAGGGGUAACGGCCCACCAAGGCGAUGAUCAGUAGCCGGUCUGAGAGGAUGAACGGCCACAUUGGGACUGAGACACGGCCCAGACUCCUACGGGAGGCAGCAGUGGGGAAUCUUCCGCAAUGGACGAAAGUCUGACGGAGCAACGCCGCGUGAGUGAUGACGGCCUUCGGGUUGUAAAGCUCUGUUAAUCGGGACGAAUGGUUCUUGUGCAAAUAGUGCAAGGAUUUGACGGUACCGGAAUAGAAAGCCACGGCUAACUACGUGCCAGCAGCCGCGGU